GACGAACGCUGGCGGCGUGCUUAACACAUGCAAGUCGAACGGAAAGGCCCUGCGCUUGUGGGGUGCUCGAUUGGCGAACGGGUGAGUAACACGCGAGUAACCUGUCCUUGUCUUUGGGAUAACUUCAGGAGACUGGGGCGAAUACCGGAUAGGAUCUCCUGAUGCAUGGGGGGGGUUGGAAAGAUUCGGCGGUUGGGGAUGGACUCGCGGGUUAUCAGCUUGUUGGUGGGGUAGUGGCUUACGAAGGCUAUGACGGGUAGCCGGCCUGAGCGGGUGACCGGGGACAAUGGGACUGAGGGACGGACCAGAAUCGUACGUGCGGCAGCGGUGGAGAAUAUUGCGGAAUGGGCCGACGCGUGUUGUAGAGACCCCGCGUGCGGAAUGACCGCCUUUGGGUUGUAAACAGCUUUCGAAGUUGACGAAGCGGGAGUGACGGUAAUUGGUAAAAAAGCACCGGCUAACUACGUG
rnacentral:rRNA from 1 species